rnacentral:rRNA from 1 species
GAUGAACGCUGGCGGCGUGCCUAAUACAUGCAAGUCGAGCGAACAGAUGAGGAGCUUGCUCCUCUGACGUUAGCGGCGGACGGGUGAGUAACACGUGGAUAACCUACCUAUAAGACUGGGAUAACUUCGGGAAACCGGAGCUAAUACCGGAUAAUAUAUUGAACCGCAUGGUUCAAUAGUGAAAGACGGUUUUGCUGUCACUUAUAGAUGGAUCCGCGCCGCAUUAGCUAGUUGGUAAGGUAACGGCUUACCUAGGCAACGAUGCGUAGCCGACCUGAGAGGGUGAUCGGCCACACUGGAACUGAGACACGGUCCAGGCUCCUACGGGAGGCAGCAGUAGGGAAUCUUCCGCAAUGGGCGAAAGCCUUACGGAGCAACGCCGCGUGAGUGAUGAAGGUCUUCGGAUCGUAAAACUCUGUUAUUAGGGAAGAGCAAAUGUGUAAGUAACUGUGCACGUCUUGACGGUACCUAAUCAGAAAGCCCCGGCUAACUACGUG